rnacentral:lncRNA from 13 species
GGGUGCUCUGGGGAUGUGCUCUGGGGGGUGUGUUGAUUUCAAAAAGUUAUAUAAGUAAAACGCUACAGUGCAGGUCCAGGCUCAAGGUGGUGGAAAGCAAGCCCAAGUGAGUGUAGCCAUGAGAGGUAGACUUCCUCCACCACCCCACCACAACAUGAUCCAGGGAAGUCAGGAAGGAGUGGGGAGAUGGGAGCCAUCACUGAGUCCCUCCCACCUCUACUGGAAGUAAAUCCUUCCCUUUCCUGAUCCUCACAGUGGGGGAGAGUAGCCCAAGGGUAAAAAAUGUCCAAGAUAAUUCACUUAGAUUAAGUUGACGGACAGGAAAUAAUAAAAAGAGAUUAAAUUAGUCAUAAAGUUGUGAAUCUAUCUGUGUGACAGAUAAGGUGGUCAAGAGAGUGCUAUGGGGAAGCUGAAAGGUUGACUAUGCUGACAGUCUGGAAAGGUGAGCUCACCUUCAGAGAAUCCCAGGUCUUGGAUCUUGGACAAGUCACAACUGUGUUACCUUCAAUGAAAACAGCAGACAAAUCUUAUUUGUGAUAUUUUUUGUGAUUCUCAGAACGUGCCAAGGAUCAAUGGAAGCAUUUGCCUCUUGUCACAUUCAGGCCACUGAACAGGUGGCCUGAACAGCCUGGGCUACUGCAAGGAUAUCUGAACACUGAUGAAGAAAGAUACUGCAAAGAAAAUGAGACAAAAGUGUAGGUGAUUGAGAGCAGAACUGAGAAGUGUAGAAAAGAUGUUAACAGAAAGAUUGUGGGCUGGGCAUGAUGGCUCACUCCUGUAAUCCCAGCACUAUGGGAGGCCGAGGCGGGCAGAUCACUUGAGGUCAGGAGUUUGAGACCAACCUGGCCAACAUGAUGAAACCCCGUCACUACUAAAAAUACAAAAAUUAGCCAGGCAUGGUGGCAGACACCCAUAAUCCCAGCUACUCAGGAGGCUGAGGCUGGAGAAUCACUUGAACCUGGGAGGUGGAGGUUGCAGUGAGCCGAGAUUGUGCCACUGCACUCCAGCCUCGGUGACAGAGCAAGAAUCUCUCUCUCUCUCUCUCUCUCUCUCUCUCUCUCUCUGUGUGUGUGUGUGUGUGUGUGUGUGUGUAGUGGUUAUAGUAGUUGGAGGUGGUGUCUUUAAAUUUGUUUUCCCCUGAGAAUCUGAAUUCCUUAAAAUAGCUAUAAGAAUGUUCUCAGUCUAGCAAGGGAAUUAUUGAAAACUUAUUCUUCACGUACCAUAUUUCUAAUAAAUUAAUUUUCAUGCAAAUCUAUUUGAUCUGC